CACCCCAUGGGAAGUGGGGAAUUAAUUCCUUUUGGUUCCCUAUUAAACUGCCAUUGUCCCAGCCUGUGGACUUUUACCUUUCCAAUUCUUUUCCCCAGUCCCACUGGUGGGAGAGCGAGAGGGUGGCUGCAUGGGGCUUGGCUGGUGACGGGGGUUAAACAGCACAGAUGGAGCUGCUGUGGAGGUGGAGCUCAGAACAGUGAGGCGGGAGAGCGUGUUAACCACCACAAGUUAAACAAGAAAGACAUUUUGAUGAGUUUUCUACCUCCAGCAGGAAAUAAGAGCAGCAGUUUCUCUAAGGCUGUUGGUGACCAGGGAGAGAUUCCUGUGUGUUCAGGGUAGCAUCUUAGCAGAGCCCAGAACAGAGAAAGCCACCAGAGAGAAAUCAGACCACAGAAAACAGUCUGUGUAAUAAAAGUAGAGUAACAAAUAAGAAAACGUAUCAUUUAAUCAAUUUUCCCGCUGUCCUGGAUAUCUCAGCAAUAAUUUAAAGACAGCAGGGAAUAAAACAUCUGAAAUAAUCCUGUUCAUCCUUCAGCCUAGUGUACAGAUGCUGAGAGAGCUGUGUCAGUGUGAGCUGAUGGUAUUAGUGUGUAAGCUAGGUACACCUAUCUCUGUCUGUGAGUGUGGUGUGUGAAACAUUUUUUUGUGUUUUGCUGAUUUUAAACUAGAAGAACAAAUGCCCCUUUCUUCAUUUAUUGGGAGCGGGCUAAUAGUGAGACCUGAGCAGCACAGUGUGCUAUAAGAAUUUUAAAUAUGGACUGUUGUGUUGUGUAAGUGGAAAGCUCAAUGUGAAAUCAAAGCACAAGCCUGAACUGAUUUUCUUGCCCAAGAAAUGUUAUCCUGACCCUAAAAAACCCCACUGUAAACACCUGCUGAAUAGUUUCCCAACUUGCACAUUCUCCAGAGUACUUUUCAGCAAGAUUAUGCUAAUUUUUGUGUUUGAAAAAAAAAGGUCUGUGUACUUAGCAAGGAAGUAUAGCUGGUGAAGUUGCUGCUUAAUGUGGGAUAUGUUUUUUUAGUGUUUUAUUUCGUAAUGUCUCUUGGGGGCCCUACAGGCAGUGACCUGGAAUUCAAAAAUAGUGCCUUAGGGGGAAAAAGAUGAGGAGAACUUCUUUAGUAUAUUUCAUCAGUAUGCCUCAAAACUCUUAUUCUUCUUCCCCAAAUCGGGAACUUAGAAAUAAUCCCUUUCUAUGAAUUAAUAGGUUGAGGUUUUUUAUCUUCUAAGAAGAUCUCUCAAAUCUGUGUAUCAAAAUCAAGUCAGAUUAAAAUAGUAAUCUUUGUCACAAUAUGGAAAUGGACAUUCCCACUGUCUCCUCUCAUCCUGCUACAUUUGUGAUUUGUAGCCAUGUGCCACACUGCUGUCUUGUCUCCUUCCAAACAAAUUCUCACUCUGCUCCACAAUUUUCUGCCUUGUUUCUCUGUUUUUCAACAGUUUUUUAUCCCCAUCAAUCUGCUUACUUUGAUCUUCUGGAACAUUUUCCGCUGUUUCCUCUCUCACCAGCACCAUAUAUUCAUCAACCCUGUAUAUUUCUUUCAGUGUCACUCCCCACAGCUUGUCUGUUUUUUUUGCUUUCUCCAUGGCAUCCUCAGCAUUUACUCAUGGCUUAGUACACCUAUCAGAUUCCUGUCUGUCUCUGAGAAUCUGGCUAUUCAUUCCCUUUUGUCAUCUUACUUGUGCAUGCCUUCAAUCAUAACUUGUGUAUCAGGCCCCACCUUUACCUUUCUGCACAUUCCAGCUUCAUCACUCUGGCUGCCCUCCUUCUUUUCCAGUUUUUCUACAGAAGGUCAGGUCCUAUCUCCUUUCAGAGUUUCUGAAAAAAUUUGAGAAAAUAAAUCAUAGGAAGUUCAGAUGGUCAGGUUUCUCCUAACACAACAUUACUCUGGUUUAUUUUCGUUGCAUGAUGGUUAAUGCCAAUCUAAAUUGCAAAGUGCAGAAAUAAUGUUUUGGGGGUUCUUUGACUUACCUCCACCUCAGAUGCAUCCUGCCUCUCACCAGAUUAGAUUCUCACAAGUUGUUAAGGAUCCAUUUAAAAUUUCUCUUCUCCUGCAGCCUUUGAAGCAGAAGCACUGUGUUCUUUCCUAGGUGAAGCCUAGGACUGUAGCAGCUGUAGCCAGUUCUGCUGGCUCUGUCCAAGAGGUCCCUUGUGUUUACCUUAAGUCAUGGACACAAAAGUAGGCAAAAGUGUGUGCUUCAGGCUAUGAAAGUAUACGAAAAGAGUUUGUAUGUCUGUAAUAGAAGUACUCCAAUGUUUUGUAUCUUUAUUGCAGUAGUAAACUCAGUCAUGACUUCACAUAGAGUUUAAUUUAGGUUAACAAAAAUUAGGAUCUUGGCUGCUAGGCCUCUCUUAGCAUAUUUUGUUCCUUAACAGUAUUCUUUCUGCAAGGAGCUGAUUAAUAGAGUAGACUCUAACUCUUUUUACCUUAUCUCUCUACUGCAUCAUCAAAUAUAUCACUUGCUGAUUAGUUGAUGGGACUGAGACAAGCUCCAACCCUCUGCUGAUCCAGCCAAGGUUCAAAGGAUGCCUUUCCCUGCAGCUGGGACUUUCCCCCAUCAGUGGCAUGCAGGAGUGCUGUACUGUCACUGUCCUGUAAUGUCCCCUAGGGUUGUUUCCUGACUAAUUCCUGCUGCAGUGAAGACCAUGUAAAACCAAGCUGGGACUCCAUCAGCUCCUGCAGAGAGACAAGUCCAAGCUGAGAGUUGUGAGCUUGUGUCUGCAAAGUCACUGCCCAUUAUUCAAUAAAUUUUGAGUGCAUCAUCA